rnacentral:rRNA from 1 species
CACGUAGGGUGCGAGCGUUGUCCGGAAUUAUUGGGCGUAAAGAGCUCGUAGGCGGUGUGUCGCGUCGGCCGUGAAAACCUGCAGCUUAACUGUGGCUUGCGGUCGAUACGGGCAUCACUGGAGUUCGGCAGGGGAGACUGGAAUUCCUGGUGAUAGCGGUGAAAUGACGCAGAUAUCGAGGAGGAACACCCGGUGGCGGAAGGCGGGUCUCUGGGCCGAUACUGACGC